UAAUACGUAGGGUGCGAGCGUUAAUCGGAAUUACUGGGCGUAAAGGGUGCGCAGGCGGCCCCGCCAGUCAGACGUGAAAUCCCCGAGCUCAACUUGGGAAUGGCGUUUGAAACUACGGGGCUGGAGUGUGGCAGAGGGAGGUGGAAUUCCACGUGUAGCGGUGAAAUGCGUAGAGAUGUGGAGGAACACCAAUGGCGAAGGCAGCCUCCUGGGCCAACACUGACGCUCAUGCACGAAAGCGUGGGGAGCAAACAGGAUUAGAUACCCUGGUAGUCCACGCCCUAAACGAUGAUGACUAGUUGUUGGAGGAGUUAAAUCCUUUAGUAACGCAGCUAACGCGUGAAGUCAUCCGCCUGGGGAGUACGGUCGCAAGAUUAAAACUUAAAGGAAUUGACGG
rnacentral:rRNA from 1 species